UGAGGAAUAUUGGUCAAUGGCCGAGAGGCUGAACCAGCCAAGUCGCGUGAAGGACGAAGGAUCUAUGGUUUGUAAACUUCUUUUAUAGGGGAAUAAAGUGCGGCACGUGUGCCGUUUUGUAUGUACCCUAUGAAUAAGCAUCGGCUAACUCCGUGCCAGCAGCCGCGGUAAUACGGAGGAUGCGAGCGUUAUCCGGAUUUAUUGGGUUUAAAGGGUGCGUAGGUGGCUGUUUAAGUCAGCGGUGAAAGUUUGUGGCUCAACCAUAAAAUUGCCGUUGAAACUGGGUAGCUUGAGUAUGUUUGAGGUAGGCGGAAUGCGUGGUGUAGCGGUGAAAUGCAUAGAUAUCACGCAGAACUCCAAUUGCGAAGGCAGCUUACCGGCUCCAGACUGACGCUGAGGCACGAAAGCGUGGGUAUCGAACAGGAUUAGAUACCC
rnacentral:rRNA from 1 species